rnacentral:rRNA from 1 species
GAUGAACGCUGGCGGCGUGCCUAAUACAUGCAAGUCGAGCGAACAGAUAAGGAGCUUGCUCCUUUGACGUUAGCGGCGGACGGGUGAGUAACACGUGGGUAACCUACCUAUAAGACUGGAAUAACUCCGGGAAACCGGGGCUAAUGCCGGAUAACAUUUAGAACCGCAUGGUUCUAAAGUGAAAGAUGGUUUUGCUAUCACUUAUAGAUGGACCCGUGCCGUAUUAGCUAGUUGGUAAGGUAACGGCUUACCAAGGCAACGAUACGUAGCCGACCUGAAAGGGUGAUCGGCCACACUGGAACUGAGACCCGGUCCAGACUCCUACGGGAGGCAGCAGUAGGGAAUCUUCCGCAAUGGGCGAAAGCCUGACGGAGCAACGCCGCGUGAGUGAUGAAGGUCUUCGGAUCGUAAAACUCUGUUAUUAGGGAAGAACAAAUGUGUAAGUAACUGUGCACGUCUUGACGGUACCUAAUCAGAAAGCCACGGCUAACUACGU